rnacentral:lncRNA from 1 species
AUUAUAGUCUUCUUCUCCCCCAAGAGCUCUCUGAUGCCACACUCUGCUCCCCUUUUGUUCUCUGGACUCCUCAAAUCAGUCAUUUGGACCCCCUGAAAUGUAGUAUUUCCCCCAGGAUUCUGUGGAUGGAGAGAUGAAUGAUGCUUGAUACCUACCUCCUGCCAUGACGAUGGACCUGUGUGCUCCAAGAGACAGUUCUUAACCAGCCUGACCUUCAAAGCAUACAAGCCAUGGUUCUCAUCUCCUACCCUGGCCCCCAGUGCCUGGCAGAGUGCCUGAAUAGGAGCAAUUUAUUUGACCUGCAUUUGAUGACUGAAAGUCAAGUUCAUCUCCCUUCUGGCCUGAAUGCAGACAAGGAAAUAUCUUAAUUCUUGAGUACCAGCCUCUUGGGACUCUUCUACCUCUGCAGAUUUUUGGGCCCUAGUGCUGAUAUGCAGUGGAGUCAACCUUCAGGCAAUUACAGUAUCCACUUCUAAUGCAUGGACGUUAGAACGAAGUCAUAAUGUCCCUAAUCUAAGGUCUGCCCCUGCACUGAAUGAUCUGGAUCAUGGAGGAAUCUGUCUUCACUGACAGAGGAGUUUAAGACUUUCUGAAACAGAGCCCAAGUCCUGGCCUCAGAUGACCAUCUCUCCUGUGAAAUGUCCCUGUUAUGUCUCCCCGG